CAGUAGCCGCGGGAAAACGGAGGGUGCAAGCGUUAAUCGGAAUUACUGGGCGUAAAGCGCACGCAGGCGGUUUGUUAAGUCAGAUGUGAAAUCCCCGAGCUUAACUUGGGAACUGCAUUUGAAACUGGCAAGCUAGAGUCUUGUAGAGGGGGGUAGAAUUCCAGGUGUAGCGGUGAAAUGCGUAGAGAUCUGGAGGAAUACCGGUGGCGAAGGCGGCCCCCUGGACAAAGACUGACGCUCAGGUGCGAAAGCGUGGGGAGCAAACAGGAUUAGAUACCCGAGUAGUCCCUGUCUCUUAUAC
rnacentral:rRNA from 1 species